rnacentral:rRNA from 1 species
GACGGAGGAUGCAAGCAUUAUCUGGAAUGAUUGGGCGUAAAGCGUCCGCAGGUGGCAGUUCAAGUCUGCUGUCAAAGACCGGGGCUUAACUUCGGAAAGGCAGUGGAAACUGAACAGCUAGAGUAUGGUAGGGGCAGAGGGAAUUCCUGGUGUAGCGGUGAAAUGCGUAGAUAUCAGGAAGAACAUCGGUGGCGAAGGCGCUCUGCUGGACCAUAACUGACACUCAGGGACGAAAGCUAGGGGAGCGAAUGGG